CAAGCGGUGGAGUAUGUGGUUUAAUUCGAUGCAACGCGAAGAACCUUACCUGGCCUUGACAUGUCCGGAAUUGCGCAGAGAUGUGUGAGUGCUUGAAAGAGAACCGUAACACAGGUGCUGCAUGGCUGUCGUCAGCUCGUGUCGUGAGAUGUUGGGUUAAGUCCCGCAACGAGCGCAACCCUUGUCAUUAAUUGCCAUCCUUAAGUUGGGCACUUUAAUGAGACUGCCGGUGACAAACCGGAGGAAGGCAGGGAUGACGUCAAGUCCUCAUGGCCCUUAUGGGUAGGGCUUCACACGUAAUACAAUGGUCGGUACAGAGGGUUGCCAACCCGCGAGGGGGAGCUAAUCCCAGAAAGCCGAUCGUAGUCCGGAUUGCAGUCUGCAACUCGACUGCAUGAAGUCGGAAUCGCUAGUAAUCGCGGAUCAGCAUGUCGCGGUGAAUACGUUCCCGGGCCUUGUACACACCGCCCGUCACACCAUGGGAGUGAGUUGCUCCAGAAGCCGUUAGUCUAACCGCAAGGGGGACGACGACCACGGAGUGGUUCAUGACUGGGGUGAAGUCGUAACAAGGUAGCCGUAUCGGAAGGUGCGGCUGGAUCACCUCCUUUCUAAUCGAAUUCCCGCGGC
rnacentral:rRNA from 1 species